rnacentral:sRNA from 1 species
GCGUGCGUUCGAGGGGUGCCUGGUUUGUCCAGAGCCCAGGGUCAGGGAUAGCCCCUCGAACUUUGC